rnacentral:rRNA from 1 species
UACAGAGGGUGCAAGCGUUAAUCGGAUUUACUGGGCGUAAAGCGUGUGUAGGUGGUUGGGAAAGUCAAUUGUGAAAGCCCCGGGCUCAACUCGGGAACUGCUUUUGAUACUGUCCGACUAGAAUUCGGUAGAGGGAGGCGGAACUCCAGGUGUAGCGGUGAAAUGCGUAGAUAUCUGGAAGAACACCAAUGGCGAAGGCAACCUCCUGGGCCUGAAUUGACACUGAGACACGAAAGCGUGGGGAUCAAACAGG